GUCCACGCCCUAAACGAUGUCGACUGGUUGUUGGGGGUUUGACACUCUCAGUAACGAAGCUAACGCGUGAAGUCGACCGCCUGGGGAGUACGGCCGCAAGGUUAAAACUCAAAGGAAUUGACGGGGACCCGCACAAGCGGUGGAUUAUGUGGAUUAAUUCGAUGCAACGCGAAAAACCUUACCUACCCUUGACAUGUCCGGAAGCCUGGGGAAAACCCGGGUGUGCCCGAAAGGGAACUGGAACACAGGUGCUGCAUGGCUGUCGU
rnacentral:rRNA from 1 species